rnacentral:rRNA from 1 species
UACGUAGGGGUGCGAGCGUUGUCCGGAAUUAUUGGGCGUAAAGAGCUUGUAGGCGGUCUGUCGCGUCUGCUGUGAAAAUCCGGGGCUCAACCCCGGACUUGCAGUGGGUACGGGCAGACUAGAGUGUGGUAGGGGAGACUGGAAUUCCUGGUGUAGCGGUGAAAUGCGCAGAUAUCAGGAGGAACACCGAUGGCGAAGGCAGGUCUCUGGGCCACUACUGACGCUGAGAAGCGAAAGCAUGGGGGAGCGAACAGG